AUGGUUAAGUUAGAAAGGGCGCACGGUGAAUGCCUUGGCACUAGGAGCCGAUGAAGGACGGGACUAACACCGAUAUGCUUCGGGGAGCUGUAAGUGAGCUUUGAUCCGGAGAUUUCCGAAUGGGGAAACCCACUGUUCGUAAUGGAACAGUAUCUUUAUCUGAAUACAUAGGAUAUUGAAGGCAGACCCGGGGAACUGAAACAUCUAAGUACCCGGAGGAAGAGAAAGCAAAUGCGAUUUCCUGAGUAGCGGCGAGCGAAACGGAAUUAGCCCAAACCAAGAGGCUUGCCUCUUGGGGUUGUAGGACACUCUAUACGGAGUUACAAAGGAACGAAGUAAAUGAAGCGACCUGGAAAGGUCCGUCGAAGAAGGUAACAACCCUGUAGUUGAAACUUCGUUCCCUCUUGAGUGGAUCCUGAGUACGGCGGAACACGUGAAAUUCCGUCGGAAGCUGGGAGGACCAUCUCCCAAGGCUAAAUACUACCUAGUGACCGAUAGUGAACCAGUACCGUGAGGGAAAGGUGAAAAGCACCCCGGAAGGGGAGUGAAAGAGAUCCUGAAACCGUGUGCCUACAAGUAGUCAGAGCCCGUUAAUGGGUGAUGGCGUGCCUUUUGUAGAAUGAACCGGCGAGUUACGAUCCCAUGCAAGGUUAAGCUGAUAAGGCGGAGCCGUAGCGAAAGCGAGUCUGAAUAGGGCGUUUAGUAUGUGGUUGUAGACCCGAAACCAGGUGAUCUACCCAUGUCCAGGGUGAAGUUCAGGUAACACUGAAUGGAGGCCCGAACCCACGCACGUUGAAAAGUGCGGGGAUGAGGUGUGGGUAGCGGAGAAAUUCCAAUCGAACCUGGAGAUAGCUGGUUCUCUCCGAAAUAGCUUUAGGGCUAGCCUCAUGUUGUGAGAGUCUUGGAGGUAGAGCACUGAUUGGACUAGGGGCCCCCAACGGGUUACCGAAUUCAGUCAAACUCCGAAUGCCAAAGACUUAUCCAUGGGAGUCAGACUGCGAGUGAUAAGAUCCGUAGUCAAAAGGGAAACAGCCCAGACCACCAGCUAAGGUCCCCAAGUAUACGUUAAGUGGAAAAGGAUGUGGAGUUGCUUAGACAACCAGGAUGUUGGCUUAGAAGCAGCCACCAUUUAAAGAGUGCGUAAUAGCUCACUGGUCGAGUGACUCUGCGCCGAAAAUGUACCGGGGCUAAACGUAUCACCGAAGCUGUGGAUUGACAUCUUUGAUGUCAGUGGUAGGAGAGCGUUCUAAGUGCAGCGAAGUCAGACCGUAAGGACUGGUGGAGCGCUUAGAAGUGAGAAUGCCGGUAUGAGUAGCGAAAGACAAGUGAGAAUCUUGUCCACCGAAUGCCUAAGGUUUCCUGAGGAAGGCUCGUCCGCUCAGGGUUAGUCGGGACCUAAGCCGAGGCUGAAAAGCGUAGGCGAUGGCCAACAGGUUGAUAUUCCUGUACCACCUCCCCGCCGUUUGAGUAAUGGGGGGACGCAGUAGGAUAGGGUAAGCGCGCUGCUGGAUAUGCGCGUUCAAGCAGUUAGGCUGAUGAGUAGGCAAAUCCGCUCAUCAUAAAGGCUGAGCUGUGAUGACGAGGGAAUUAUAGUACCGAAGUUCCUGAUUCCACACUGCCAAGAAAAGCCUCUAGCGAGGCGGGAGGUGCCCGUACCGCAAACCGACACAGGUAGGCGAGGAGAGAAUCCUAAGGUGAUCGAGAGAACUCUCGUUAAGGAACUCGGCAAAAUGACCCCGUAACUUCGGGAGAAGGGGUGCUCUGGUAGGGUGUAUAGCCCGAGAGAGCCGCAGUGAAUAGGCCCAGGCGACUGUUUAGCAAAAACACAGGUCUCUGCGAAGCCGCAAGGCGAAGUAUAGGGGCUGACGCCUGCCCGGUGCUGGAAGGUUAAGAGGAGGGGUUAUCCUUUGGGAGAAGCUCUGAAUCGAAGCCCCAGUAAACGGCGGCCGUAACUAUAACGGUCCUAAGGUAGCGAAAUUCCUUGUCGGGUAAGUUCCGACCCGCACGAAAGGCGUAACGAUCUGGGCACUGUCUCAACGAGAGACUCGGUGAAAUUAUAGUACCUGUGAAGAUGCAGGUUACCCGCGACAGGACGGAAAGACCCCGUGGAGCUUUACUGUAGCCUGAUAUUGAAUUUUGGUACAGCUUGUACAGGAUAGGUAGGAGCCUGAGAAGCCGGAGCGCUAGCUUCGGUGGAGGCGUCGGUGGGAUACUACCCUGGCUGUAUUGAAAUUCUAACCCGCGGCCCUGAUCGGGCCGGGAGACAGUGUCAGGUGGGCAGUUUGACUGGGGCGGUCGCCUCCUAAAAUGUAACGGAGGCGCCCAAAGGUUCCCUCAGAAUGGUUGGAAAUCAUUCGUAGAGUGUAAAGGCACAAGGGAGCUUGACUGCGAGACCUACAAGUCGAGCAGGGACGAAAGUCGGGCUUAGUGAUCCGGUGGUUCCGCAUGGAAGGGCCAUCGCUCAACGGAUAAAAGCUACCCCGGGGAUAACAGGCUUAUCUCCCCCAAGAGUCCACAUCGACGGGGAGGUUUGGCACCUCGAUGUCGGCUCAUCGCAUCCUGGGGCUGUAGUCGGUCCCAAGGGUUGGGCUGUUCGCCCAUUAAAGCGGUACGCGAGCUGGGUUCAGAACGUCGUGAGACAGUUCGGUCCCUAUCCGUCGUGGGCGUAGGAAAUUUGAGAGGAGCUGUCCUUAGUACGAGAGGACCGGGAUGGACACACCGCUGGUGUACCAGUUGUCUUGCCAAAGGCAUCGCUGGGUAGCUAUGUGUGGACGGGAUAAGUGCUGAAAGCAUCUAAGCAUGAAGCCCCCCUCAAGAUGAGAUUUCCCAUAGCGCAAGCUAGUAAGAUCCCUGAAAGAUGAUCAGGUUGAUAGGUCAGAGGUGGAAGCGUGGCGACAUGUGUAGCUGACUGAUACUAAUCGAUCGAGGACUUAACCAAAA
rnacentral:rRNA from 2 species